UAUUCUUGUGAUAAUCGUAGUGAUAGCCCCCACCAGCCCAGUUAUCCUUGUGAUCAUCAUAUUGAUAGCCCCAACCAGUUACAAAUUAAAAAUUGCCUAAGCAACAUUGAUCUUUUCUAAAGCCCAAUAACCUGAAUGUUGCAAAGGCCAGGCUAUCAAUACAAUCUUUUCAAUAGGGCUUCUAGUCCAGAAACUUUAGAAGAAAUGAAAAAAAUAGACCCAAACUUGUUCUUGGUCAGGUUUAUUCCAGUCUCCAUCCUCUCUGCUCUGCUCUACUCCACUGUUAGGGUUUCAGAGUUGCUUCAAUGGAAUGGAGGGAUGUUUUUGCACUCUGAGAGAUGAUCCAAUCCAAGUCAGGUAGAGAUUCGUGUGGUUUUGGAAAGUUUCCAUGGCUUAAGAUUCUUCUUAACUUAAGACAAAGAGGAAUGUUCAUCGUACGAAAGCCAGUACUUUUGAAUACUGAGAUCCAAAUCUUGAUGCAAGAAAGAUGUUGAGACAUUGUAAGUUCAGAAAGGGUUUGUUAGGAAGGAUUUGAUUGCAAGAGCUUCGCAUGUUUAAUAGUUUCAGAAGCUGUUGAAGAUAUUAUCACAAGCUGUGGACAUGCUCUCUAGGAACAAUCCUCUUAUUGGAUGUAUAUUUAGGGAUUACAUGUUCUUCCAAGCUUCUGUUCAAGAUACGAGGGUUGUUAAAUAACACUUGCAUGACCUUGACCUGAAGCAUCUCAGGAGAAACCAUGGGACGUGAACAGGUUAACGACAGUCAGGUUUUUCAAGCCAUUCCAGCGGAGAUAUCUAGAAGCUGAAGACGCAGAUUUAAUGGAAACCCACAUGUAUUUAUGAGGCAAUAGACUGUGAAGGAGUAAUCUCGUGGAUUUGCAGCACUUUUAGAUCCACUAGUGAUAGAUUUGUAAGAGAGAAAUGGUGAAGAAUGAUCACUAUACCACCAAAAUUUGAAUGGUGCCAUUUGAUUCAUUAA